CAACCUGCCCACCACUUGGGGAUAACCUUGCGAAAGUAAGACUAAUACCCAAUGAUAUCUCUAGAAGACAUCUGAAAGAGAUUAAAGAUUUAUCGGUGAUGGAUGGGGAUGCGUCUGAUUAGCUUGUUGGCGGGGUAACGGCCCACCAAGGCAACGAUCAGUAGGGGUUCUGAGAGGAAGGUCCCCCACAUUGGAACUGAGACACGGUCCAAACUCCUACGGGAGGCAGCAGUGAGGAAUAUUGGUCAAUGGACGAGAGUCUGAACCAGCCAAGUAGCGUGCAGGAAGACGGCCCUAUGGGUUGUAAACUGCUUUUAUAAGGGAAUAAAGUUAGUCUCGUGAGACUUUUUGCAUGUACCUUAUGAAUAAGGACCGGCUAAUUCCGUGCCAGCAGCCGCGGUAAUACGGAAGGUCCGGGCGUUAUCCGGAUUUAUUGGGUCUAAAGGGAGCGUAGGCCGGAGAUUAAGCGUGUUGUGAAAUGUAGAUGCUCAACAUCUGAACUGCAGCGCGAACUGGUUUCCUUGAGUACGCACAAAGUGGGCGGAAUUCGUGGUGUAGCGGUGAAAUGCUUAGAUAUCACGAAGAACUCCGAUUG
rnacentral:rRNA from 1 species